rnacentral:rRNA from 1 species
CGCAGCCUGAUGCAGCACGCCGCGUGGGGGAUGAAGGCCUUCGGGUUGUAAACCCCUUUUAGCAGGGAAGAAGCGAAAGUGACGGUACCUGCAGAAAAAGCGCCGGCUAACUACGUGCCAGCAGCCGCGGUAAUACGUAGGGCGCAAGCGUUGUCCGGAAUUAUUGGGCGUAAAGAGCUCGUAGGCGGUUUGUCGCGUCUGCUGUGAAAGUCCGAGGCUCAACCUCGGAUCUGCAGUGGGUACGGGCAGACUAGAGUGUGGUAGGGGAGACUGGAAUUCCUGGUGUAGCGGUGGAAUGCGCAGAUAUCAGGAGGAACACCAAUGGCGAAGGCAGGUCUCUGGGCCAUAACUGACGCUGAGGAGCGAAAGCGUGGGGAGCGAACAGGAUUAGAUACCCUGGUAGUCCACGCCGUAAACGGUGGGCACUAGAUGUGGGGCUCUUUCCAUGAGUUCCGCGUCGCAGCUAACGCAUUAAGUGCCCCGCCUGGGGAGUACGGCCGCAAGGCUAAAACUCAAAG